rnacentral:lncRNA from 1 species
CGUUCUUUUUCCUCUCGCGGUCCCCAGGAGCCCAGGCACCCCUCGACGCCGCUGCCGGCGGAACCGGGAACCCUCCCCGGGGCUCCCUGCGGGCCCGAAGCCGCCUUCCCGAGGCGGCGGAGUUGGGCAGCUCCGGGCCCCGCGCCGCCCCGCGCCGCCCCGCGGAGCCGGAGUUUCUCUCCGGAGUCUGGACACAGCUCUCCGCUUCGUCGCCGCGCACUGGACCCCGGUAGCGUGGAGCCUGCCCGGGAAGCUGGGCUGCGCCGGCCUGGGGCGAAGGUCCAAGGGGCGCGGGGGCCGGGACGCGGGGCUGUGGCGACGACCGGCCCUCUGCGAACGCUCAGGCCGGCGGGUCCGGGGCCACAGGCUGGGAGUGGAGCUGGCGGCCACUGGGGAGUAGAGAGGACGCCCAGGAACAGGUGCACCAGGGUCCCGGCGGCUGGGCCGAGGGUCGCAAGCAGAGGGGACCGGCGGCUGCCAGCAAGUCCCAAGCAGAUGCCUCCGGCGGGGCAGCCGCAUUUUACAGCGCCCAUUCCGCGUACAUCGAGUAUCCAAAACGAGUAAAAUCGGUUUAUACGUUGGAAUGUAGCUUAUGAUUCCAAAAUCUCAUCUCCAGGCUGCCUAGAUCACACGGCCCCGUUUCAUUCAUUUUUACUGAAUAACGGUCGUUGGACAAUUUAGAGAAGCAGCAGAAACCACGAGAAAAACAGUGGAGUCAAACGGCGGCGCUGUUGUAGGAGCAAGGUAUACAAUGAUGAUCAAGGCAGAUGCAGCCCUUACCUUCAGGUCGUGGAGUCCGGAUACAGACUGGAGGCAGAGGCAGCUGUAAGAUGUGUGACAAAUGCUGCGCUGGAUCAGCCCAUGGUAUUAGGAGAGCAGCCUCCCAAAGUGCUGGGAUUGCAGGUGCGAGCCACCGGGUCCAGCCUCUCAGGCGAUUUUCAUACCUGCAUACUCUGAUCACUACGCUGUUAAACAGUCAAGGAGGGUAAGUAUUAUCUUCAGAUUUCCAGAGCUCUGUCUCUGUACAGCCCUCUCCUCCUCAAUAUUCUGCCCUAUGAAUUCUAGCCACAUUGGCCUUCCCAGACUCACAGUUCUGUCUUCUCAACUCAGGAAGAUCUCUGAGCUCCAUCUGCAUUCUUUCUUCCUGUGCUGUGGCUUGGAAAGUUUUCUAAGGUGUUUGGGAGGUCAAUUGUGGGGCUAGCCUCAUUUGUUUCUCAUCUCUUGAGGAUCACUGCCCUUUGAUGCUUGAUUCCAGUGAUUGAUUCCCUUUGUUGCUUGAGGGCCAUAGUUUCAUAUAUUUUGUCCAGUAUUUUUGUUGUUUUAGGUCAGAAAGUAAUUUUGGUCUCUGUUACUCCAUCUUGGCCAGAAGUGUAAGACCUAAGCAUUUACACAUCAAAAUACUGCACACAUAAUUUUAGUUUAAGCUACUUUUAAAAAAAUCUGCUUCAUUUUCCAUUAAGCAUUCUAUUUAGGGUAUUACAUUGUUUUUUUUGAAAUUCUGUUAUUGGCAGUUUCUAUUGCCUAUCAAUCCCAUUUAAAGAUAGUGCAUAGGGUAUUCUAAAAUAGCUGUUAAGCAAAGAGAAAAUUGGGCCUGAUAGGGUGAGAAUCACAGCUCUAAUACCUAGAGUGACCUUAUAAUGUAUUGUCCAAAGGAGAUAUUUUUGACAGUGAAAGAGGGUGUUGUUAGUAAUUAUAUCAGGACCAUGGCCUAAACCAGGACUAUCCCAGGCAGCCUGGGACAUAUUUGUACCCCAUCUCUAUUUAAUGCCUUUAUACAAUUCUUAAUUCUACCAGCCUUUAUUGAGCCUGCUUUCUUUGUCUAGCUGAGUGCCACGUGCUGACAUCACUAAGAUCAAUACAGCAAACUCUGAAAGAUGGACGGAGAGACAGGAGAUGGUCCUUUAUAAUGCAGUGUGAUCUGUGCUGCAAUAGAGUUUUGGAAGCUAGAAGUUCAAAACGAGGUGUUGGCAGCACCAUGCUCUCUCUGAAGAUGCUAGGAAGAAUCUGCUCCAUGCCUUUCCAUUCGCUUCUGGGGUUUCCUGCAAGCCCUGACAUUCCUUGGCUUGUAGAUACACCACCCCAGUUUCCGCCCCCAUCAUCACAUGGCCUCCUCUCUGUGUGUGCCUCUGCGUUCCCUCUAUUCUUCUUCUAAGGACACCGACACCAGUCAUAGUGGAUUAAGGGUCCACUCCUAACCAAUUACAUCUGCAACAACCCUAUUUCCAAAUAAAGUCACAUUCUAAGA